rnacentral:rRNA from 1 species
UACGGGGGGGGCAAGCGUUGUUCGGAAUUACUGGGCGUAAAGGGCGCGUAGGCGGCCUACUAAGUCGGACGUGAAAUCCCUCGGCUCAACCGAGGAACUGCGUCCGAUACUGGCAGGCUGGAAUCCGGGAGAGGGAUGUGGAAUUCCAGGUGUAGCGGUGAAAUGCGUAGAUAUCUGGAGGAACACCGGUGGCGAAGGCGGCAUCCUGGACCGGUAUUGACGCUGAGGCGCGAAAGCUAGGGGAGCAAACGG